CACGUAGUUAGCCGGGGCUUCUUAGUCAGGUACCGUCAUUUUCUUCCCUGCUGAUAGAGCUUUACAUACCGAAAUACUUCAUCGCCCACGCGGCGUCGCUGCAUCAGGGUUUCCCCCAUUGUGCAAUAUUCCCCACUGCUGCCUCCCGUAGGAGUCUGGGCCGUGUCUCAGUCCCAAUGUGGCCGUCCACCCUCUCAGGCCGGCUACUGAUCGUCGGCUUGGUGGCCGUUACCCCACAACUACCUAAUCAGACGCGGGUCCAUCUUACACCACCUCGGUUUUUACCACUAUACCAUGCGGUACUGUGGUCUUAUGCGGUAU
rnacentral:rRNA from 1 species